UGAAGCUUUUUGUAACUCUUUAACAAUCAAUAACUGCACCAGUUCUAAGUGAAACUCUUUGUGAAAUUGUCUUUUGCAACCAAUAGCUAACUGCCAACUCUGCUUCUGUUAAAAUAGCUUGCUUGCGUUUCCAGGAUAUGGUUUCCGUCUACAUAAGGCACCAUCACACACAGGUCGGGGCUGCUCACUGAAUUCCCUGCACGGAGUAACGGUGAGCAGUUGCCAGCCGGCUAAUAAAGGCUUUUUUUAAAAUUCUAAUUGGCUGUCUCGAACUUUAACUCGCGGGCACCGUAACAUUUGGAGGCCCCAGCGAGAUUAUUUCCUCAGCGUUUGCCGAGGCUCAUCAGUCGAGAUAAGGUCUGACUACUGGCCCUCUCCAGGGGGCGUGCGCUGAGAGACGUUCCUCAGCCUCGGUGGACAACCGAGUGGUCAAGCCUCGAAAUUCAAAAAUCCACCUCUGGAGCCAUCUGGACGUGGGCCCACAAUGUCCCUACAGGCCUUACACUACAACUCCAAAAACAUCCGCCACACCGUCUGCACCCACCACUCGAAACCUGACGCCGUGAAAGAAGAAACCCCUACCGCUGAACCCGGGGACUUGGUGUGGAUCAAGAAAAGAGACCCCUCCUCCCUCAAAGCACGCUGGGCAGGACCUUAUCAGGUGAUCCUAAGCACACCAACCGCCAUGAAGGUCGCAGGUAAAAGAUUUUGAAUACGUCACUCACAAAUUAAGAGGGUGGACUCCGACCAGAGCGCAGAAUGGUUUGUACAGAAAAUAUCAGAUCCCCUAAAACUUCAGCUGCAGUGAUGUAUGCCAUUAUGCUGACUCUAGUAACAGUACUAACUGCCAAGAACCCUCAUCAAGCCACUAAUUAUACAUGGCAGUUAACUCGCACCAUUGAUGGAACAAUAAUUAGCCAAGUUAGCACUUCUGGCAGCCCUAAAUUUGUUUUUGACCUAUGUAAACUCUUUGGGGAGACCUGGAAUUUGCCAGUGAAGGCAAAAGGGGGAAGAGCAGGGGUGACACCUUACGGCUAUGGUGCAUUACCCCAAGAACAAGGGCUGUGGCAUAGUCAACAUUGUAUCUGUCCGCAGGAAAGUGCCUCAGCGUGCAGGGGAGAGGACGAUUACUUCUGUUACAGUUGGGGUUGUGAAACCAUACCCCAUGGAAAAAUGUAGACCGUCUGUUAAGGGUCACGAGGGAUAAAAGGCCAGAAGCUCCUACUAAGAACUGUGUAAUUGGAGAUUGUAACCCUGUUACUUUUGAACCACAGCAGUUUUGGGAGGACUCCCAGUGGUUAGGAGGAAAAAUGUGGGGAUUGCGCCUAUAUGUAUCAGGAUAUGAUCCUGGAGUGCUAUUUACUAUUCAGAAAAAGGCAAUCCCAAAGCCUCUAAAUCCAAUAGGCCCCCUAGUUCCCAUCGCAAUCGAAAUACCCAUAGCAACUCCUUCCCCACCUACCCAUCUUUCCUAUACCAUGAGCCGUCCCUUACCGCCUAAGGCAACCCCCCUUCCUUCACCCCUAAGCUCCCGCCAAAAGUCCGUACUCCAUACACUUAAACUUACGUUCAAGUUCCUAAAUCAGACUUCCCCCAACUUAACUAAAGACUGCUGGUUAUGCCUAAACCCCGAACCACCCUACUAUGCAGGUCUAGGAGCUAACCGAAGUAUAGGAACAGCUGAGGAUGAUAUCCAAAAUAUUUCCCUGUCAGAUGAUCACCAAAACUCACACUAUUGUCCCUGGGGCACUACACCUAAGCUCACUUGAGGUGACUUUCAAGGACAAGGAACAUGUUUUCUAUCCCCCCAAUUCCUUUCGUCAACCUCCCCUUAUGUUAACUCUUGUGCCUCCGAGACCACCUUUAGCAACAGCUCUGCGAAGCAUCACGGAUAUUAUUUAGCAGCACCCAAGGGAACAUGGUUUGCCUGCACAACAGGGCUAACUCCAUGCUUAUAUCCCCCAGCUCUCAUGCGACCCAGAGCCCCAGGACUAUGCAUUCUCGCCCAUGUCCUCCCCCAGGUAUAUUACUAUUCUGGCGAAGGGGGUAGGGAACACCUUGGAUUAACUAACUUAAAACGGGUCAAGCGAGGAGUGCCCGUAUUAGUGCCAGUGCUCCUCGGGAUUGGUGUAGCCGGAGCAACCACAGUAGGAACCACGGCACUAGUCACAGGAGACCAAAACUUCAAAAGUCUUAGUGCCCAAACUGAUCAAGAUCUAAAAACCCUGGAGGAGAGCGUCACUAAAUUUGAAGAGUCCCUAAGUUCUUUAGCUGAAGUAGUGCUCCAGAACCAACGGGGACUCGACCUUCUAUUCCUGAAGCAGGGAGGGCUCUGUUUAGCCCUAGGUGAAGCGUGUUGCUUCUAUACUAACCACUCAGGUGUAAUUAAAGGAAGUUUGAGCCAACUCCAAAAAAGACUACAAGACAGGGAAGAGCAAAGGAAAAAGGAGGCAAACUGGUUUGAAAAUUUAUUUUCUUGGUCCCCAUGGUUAACUACCCUAGUGUCAGCAGUCGCUGGACCCUUAAUCCUUCUCAUAUUAGCCCUGAUCAUAGGUCCUUGUGUUAUAAGGUGUUCAGUUCGUCCAGCGACGCAUUCAAAGCAUAAAACUCAUGGCUUUGCAGUGUCAAUAUCAACACCUAUCCUCAGAAGAAACAAUGAUUUGAUUCUCCCUAAAAACCAGUGGGGAAUGAAGUGGGGUCCCCUUUCCCCUUAAUCCUAUAACAUCUGCAAAGCAAACAUGUUGUGUAAAUGGCAUUAGGCCAUGAGGAGGAGGGAGUGAGACUGUACCAGUUAAAGGGAGUGAAGCUUUACCAUUUAGGGGAGGCGAAACUGCGGUUGCACGCAUCAGCCAAGCAUAACCCUUUAACAAUCACCGCACCAGUUCCAAGUGAAACUUUUUGUAACUCUUUAACAAUCAAUAACUGCACCAGUUCCAAGUGAAACUCUUUGUGAAAUUGUCUUUUGCAACCAAUAGCUAACUGCCAACUCUGCUUCUGUUAAAAUAGCUUGCUUGCGUUUCCAGGAUAUGGUUUCCGUCUACAUAAGGCACCAGCACACACAGGUCGGGGCUGCUCACUGAAUUCCCUGCGUGGAGUAACAGCGAGCAGUCGCCGGCCGGCUAAUAAAGGCUUUUUUUAAAAUUCUAA